rnacentral:rRNA from 1 species
AUUGAACGCUGGCGGCAUACUUUACACAUGCAAGUCGAACGGUAACAGGGUGCUUGCACCGCUGACGAGUGGCGAACGGGUGAGUAAUGCGUCGGAACGUGCCGAGUAGUGGGGGAUAACGCAGCGAAAGUUGUGCUAAUACCGCAUACGUACUGAGGUAGAAAGUGGGGGACCUUCGGGCCUCACGUUAUUCGAGCGGCCGACGUCUGAUUAGCUAGUAGGUGAGGUAAAGGCUCACCUAGGCGACGAUCAGUAGCGGGACUGAGAGGAUGAUCCGCCACACUGGGACUGAGACACGGCCCAGACUCCUACGGGAGGCAGCAGUGGGGAAUUUUGGACAAUGGGCGAAAGCCUGAUCCAGCCAUGCCGCGUGUCUGAAGAAGGCCUUCGGGUUGUAAAGGACUUUUGUCAGGGAGGAAAUCCCUAGUGCUAAUAACACUGGGGGAUGACAGUACCUGAAGAAUAAGCACCGGCUAACUACGUGCCAGCCGCCGCAGUAA